AAUUAUGUCUUUGGCUUUUGCUAGGAAACCUGCUCUGCCAUAGAGAUCAACCAUACAAGAAAAAUGUUGAAGACAAGGACGUAUACCAUACUCACACUGCAUCUUCAUAAACAGCCUUUCACCUUCAUGGACUAACUUGGAAUGACUGCAGGCUGAUAGAACUGCAACCACGGUUACAUGGUCAGGUUUAAUACCAGAUCUGGUCAUCUCCUUGAACAGGGCCAAGGCUACUCCCCCUUCACCUUGAUUUCCGUAUCCAUCUAUCAAGGAAGUGUUUGCAAUCCGAGCACAAAGAGGGAGAAUGCUUGCUAGUGUAAUGGAAUUUGGCUGAAAGCCAGCAACCAACAUCUCCCUCAGCAGGUGAGAGGCUUCUUCUGAUUUGUUCAGCUGCGCAUAACCGGAAAUGAUAGAGUUCCAAGUACACAAACUAUUUUCUUCAGUCUGUCGAAACACUAUUAAGGCGUGCCUAAGGUCUUUGCAUUUUGAGUACAUUGUGAUCAACGUGUUUCGAACAUUGUCAAUCCCAUCAUAAGAACUGUGAAUAGCAAGACCGUGAAUCUCUUUUCCCAAUCGUAUU